ACUCGAUGUGUACAAGGGAAGAUUAUUGUGUCACGAGCCACGGUGUAUAAAGGCAACUGUGGAGAUACCUGGGCAUUCAUUCAUCCACAAUGAAGGCAGCGUUUCUGAUUCUCCUCGUCUCUGUCAUGCUCAUUGGGUCAGCAUUUGUCGCUGAUGCCCAGUGUAACGGCAUUUGCCACAACGACCAUGACUGCCAACACUGCAACAACCAUUGCCACAACGGAGGUCACUGUGUCCAUCCAGCAGGUGCUCCCGCGGGAGACUGCACAUGUCGGCAUUAAUUCUGUAACCCAGGAAAAGGGGCUGAACCAGCGGCCACCUUGUACUGAGAGAUAAUAAAAGAGAAUUAUAUUCUGUGAAAA